GUAUACGGUGGAUGCCUAGGCAGUUAGAGGCGAUGAAGGACGUGUAAGUCUGCGAAAAGCUGUGGUGAGUUGACAAAACGCAUUUUAGCCACAGAUGUCCGAAUGGGGGAACCCAGUGCAUUUAUGCAUUAUCUGCAACUGAAUACAUAGGUUGUAGAGGCAAACGAGGGGAACUGAAACAUCUAAGUACCCUUAGGAAAAGAAAUCAACCGAGAUUUCCCUAGUAGCGGCGAGCGAACGGGAAUUAGCCCUUAAGCUAAUUGUAAGCCAGUGGAAUGUGUUGGAAAGCACAACGGUACAAGGUGAUAGUCCUGUACACAAAGGCGAACUUUAAGUGAAAUCGAGUAGGUCGGGACACGUGUUAUCUUGACUGAAUAUGGGGGGACCAUCCUCCAAGGCUAAAUACUCCUAACUGACCGAUAGUGAACCAGUACCGUGAGGGAAAGGCGAAAAGAACCCCUGUGAGGGGAGUGAAAUAGAACCUGAAACCGUAUACGUACAAGCAGUGGGAGCAGACUUGUUCUGUGACUGCGUACCUUUUGUAUAAUGGGUCAGCGACUUAUAUUUUGUAGCGAGGUUAACCGAAUAGGGGAGCCGUAGUGAAAGCGAGCGUUAACUGCGCGUCUAGUUGCAAGGUAUAGACCCGAAACCCGGUGAUCUAGCCAUGGGCAGGUUGAAGGUUGAGUAACAUCAACUGGAGGACCGAACCCACUGACUUUGAAAAGUCAGGGGAUGACCUGUGGCUGGGGGUGAAAGGCCAAUCAAACCGGGAGAUAGCUGGUUCUCCCCGAAAGCUAUUUAGGUAGCGCCUCGGACGAACACCAUGGGGGGUAGAGCACUGUUAAGGCUAGGGGGUCAUCCCGACUUACCAACCCUUUGCAAACUCCGAAUACCCAUGAGUGCUAUCCGGGAGACACACGGCGGGUGCUAACGUCCGUCGUGAAGAGGGAAACAACCCAGACCGCCAGCUAAGGUCCCAAAAUAUUGCUAAGUGGGAAACGAUGUGGGAAGGCUAAGACAGCUAGGAGGUUGGCUUAGAAGCAGCCAUCCUUUAAAGAAAGCGUAACAGCUCACUGAUCAAGCGCCUCUGCGCGGAAAAUGUAUCGGGACUAAAGUUAUUCGCCGAAAUUGCGGACUCGAAAGAGUGGUAGCGGAGCGUUCCGUAAGCCUGUGAAGGUGAACCGUGAGGUUUGCUGGAGGUAUCGGAAGUGAGAAUGCUGACAUGAGUAGCGACAAACAGGGUGAGAGACCCUGUCGCCGAAAGACCAAGGGUUCCUGCGUAAAGCUAAUCUGCGCAGGGUUAGCCGGCCCCUAAGGCAAGGCCGAAAGGCGUAGUCGAUGGGAACCACGUUAAUAUUCGUGGGCCAAGGGAUGAGUGACGGAUUUCGAAAGUUGUAUUCCCUUAUUGGAUUGGGAAUGCAGCCUGGAAGUUCCUGGAAAUAGCCUCCCUAUUAGACCGUACCCGAAACCGACACAGGUGGUCAGGUAGAGAAUACUAAGGCGCUUGAGAGAACUCGGGUGAAGGAACUCGGCAAAAUUGUACCGUAACUUCGGGAGAAGGUACGCCCCUGGUAUGUGAAGAGACUUGCUCUUGGAGCAGAAGGGGGUUGCAGUGACCAGUUGGCUGCGACUGUUUAGCAAAAACACAGCACUCUGCAAACACGAAAGUGGACGUAUAGGGUGUGACGCCUGCCCGGG
rnacentral:rRNA from 9 species